GAUGAAGAACGUAGCGAAAUGCGAUAAGUAAUGUGAAUUGCAGAAUUCAGUGAAUCAUCGAAUCUUUGAACGCAUCUUGCGCUCCUUGGUAUUCUGAGGAGCAUGCCUGUUUGAGUGUCAUUAAAUUCUCAACUACACUGACUUUGAAUUGGUGUGGCUUGGAUUUGGGGGGAAAAUUGUUGUGGGCUUUUUGUAUAGUCUGCUCCCCUGAAAUUGAUUAGCGGUAUCUUUGUGGAACUGUCUACAGGUGUGAUAAUUAUCUACAUCUUAGACAUCUGCUGGAAUGCUGCUUUCUAAACCUUACUUGUAUUGACAAUCUUGACCUCAAAUCAGGUAGGACUACCCGCUGAACUUAAGCAUAUCAAUAAGCGGAGGA
rnacentral:misc_RNA from 1 species